AUUUAUAUAUAUAAAAUGAUACAGGUUGAGUAUCCCUUAUCCAAAAUGCUGGGGAUGCAGAAGUGUUCCAGAUUUUGGAUUUUCUUGGAUUUUGAGAUGUUUGUAUAUAUAUAAUAAGAUAUCUUGGAGGAUGAGACCAAAGUCUAAAUGGAAAAUUUACAUGUAUUUCUUAUAUACCUUAUGUAUCGAUCCUGAAGGUAAUCCUAUACAAUAUUUUAAAUACUUUUAUGCAUGAAACAAAGUUUUGACUGUGUUUUGACUGCAACUUGUCACAUGAGGUCAGAUGUGGAAUUUUCCACUUGUGGUGUCAUGUCAGUGCUCACAAAGUUUCAAAUUUUGGGGCAUUUUGGAUUUUGAAUUUUCAGAUGAGGGAUGCUCAACCUGUACCAAAAGUUGGUGCUAGCCGAUUAGGCAGAAAAGGAGUUUAUUAUGUGGAUAUUUAGGAGAGAACCAGCUCAAGCCUUAGAGUUUAGGAAUAACAUCCAACUACAGGCUGCAGAACUGGCCUGAUGUGUUCAACCAUGGCCCCCACAACUGUCCUACAAGCACUGAGGGACACUGCUGGUGUCCCCACCCAACACUGCCAUUUCCGCAGCAGCAACUUGGCCGCCAUUUUUGCCAUCACAGAGAUUCUGUAUGUCAUUUCCUUCCUCAAGUUGCUCCACUUUGUUUCCCUGAAAUUUCCUAUACUAAUUUUUUUUAAAUCCUAUAUUGAUUUCUUUUUAUUGUGGUAAGAACAUUUAACAUGAGAUCUACUCUCUUAAGUAUUUUUAAGUGCACAAUCCAGUAUGAUUAACUAUAGGCACGAUAUUGUACAGUGGAGCUCUAGAACUUAUUCGUCUUGCAUAAUUGAAAAUUUGACCCAUUGAGUAGCAACCAUCACUCUAGAACAGAUUCUUACUGGGAGAGCCUAAGUCAUAUGCCUGUAUUUUGUAAAAGAGAUUGCAGAACUACAUUUUUUGGGUUCUAUCUUAGCAAGGCAGGAUUCUUAAAGCUUCACAUUCUUAUACAUGACAAAAGCAUUCAAAGGUGCUAGCCACACAGAAAUUACUGCAAAUGUCCACUAUAGUUUUAAUGUUGACAAGACUAGAAUCCAAAUGGUUCAUCCCAAAAUAACAAUGCCUAGUAAUUUCAAAAUUUCAAAUUAUUGGUUUGAACACUGUAAAAGCAAAAUAUAAUCUUCAGCAAUGAUUCCUAAAAAUUCCCUUUUCUUUACACUCCUAUGCAAAAUCCUACAAACUGCAGCUGCCUGUGCCUCCUCCCCUCAAAGCCCCUGGGAAAGCUCCCAUUCCUUGUCUAAAGACCCUCUUCCUUCCCUCCUGCUUUCCUCAGCCCUCCUUUCAAUUUCCCAUUGCAAAAGCUCAAGAACUGGUCUAGUAAGACAGAAGCUGCCUUGGAGGGAGGCAGAGGAAACAGAUUAAGGCCAGCAAAACUAGAAUUCUCUUUAAGGGAAGGGAUGGGAAAGGGAGAGACACUGGUACACUAAAAGCUUGUAACUAGUCACAGGAUGGACACUUUUAUUAGUGAUACUUAAGCACUACUUGGAAUAAUUGACUGGUCUUAAAAGAUGCAGAAUGCUGUCAGAUCUGGGGUUGAAAUGUUGAUUGUAGUUCCAAGUGUCUUCUAUAGGAAAGCAGCUUGACUAAAGAUAAUAAAUAAAAAGGAGCAGACUCACAGGUAUUUUAAAGGAAAGAUAAAGACUAGUGUUCACAUUUAUGAGUCUAAAAAGAACAUUAAUUUGAUUUCAGGUUCCCAGUAUAGGAUUAAUUCUUUAGCAGUAAAUUCUACUAAGAGUUACUAUAAAUUAUUGUCACAGAUAGUUAGGUGAUUCUCGGAUGCUCCUAGUGAGCUCAGUGCUUUAGGAUAUUCUUUAGGAUAUUCUCAUGUGUCUUCCUUGAUAGUUUGUGACAAGCGCAAUGACACUUCAAAUAUUCAUUCUUUUAUGAAAUUUUGUUGACCCUGACACAAAGCUAUUAAACUGUCUACUCACGUUUACUGUUCCACCAAAUGAAAACUUUAUACAAUAUUUCUGAUCAGCAUUGCUUGAGAUAGACAGCUGGAUCUAAACACAUCCAGCAACACCAUUUCUGCUUAGCAGAUAUCAGAUUGUUUCCCUUAGAAUACUGAAUACAGCUCCAAAUUACUGAAGAAUUCCAUCUAGGACAGCAGGGAUUUUGUCUCUGCCAAAAGGAUAGCUAUCAUAGAAAUGCAAGAACUGAACCUAACACCAGUAAUUUGGUUAUUGCAAAUUAUUUCUUCCACUGGACUGCUGGCUCACAUUCAUGGAAGGGCUAGGUAUUGCUGCUAUCUUUCAAUUCUUCCCAAAUGGGGAAGCAUUUACUAUUGAGUCAGUUUGAAACUUAGAACUUACUGUUUCAGUGUCAUAUGGAUAGAUCAUGAAGCUAGCCUCUUAGUUUAACUCAUAACUAAAUUAUAAGGUUAAUAAUACUCAGUGUAUACGCUAUAACAUCCUAAGUUGUAAUUGGAUGUGCUUGCCUUGCCUAGCCUGGGCUGGUAAAACAAGGAUGGAUGCCCUGGGCAGAGACUCCCAUUGGGCAUCCACUGGGGAAAGAGGAAAUAGUCCUAGAAGUCAUAACUGCAGAAACAGAGUCAGGGGGCGGAAAAUGAGGACUUAAUUAGGGUCUGCCUUAGAAGAUCUUCAAGCUGCCUUAUUUUCAUGUGCAUUAUUCAGACGUCUGAGAAGUUCCUGGUGCAAUGUGUCUUGUGAAAUAUAUUAGGCAUUCAGUGCAGCUGUUUCCAGGUUUAUUAUGCAAUAUUCUGAUUCUGAUUCAUGAAAAUAUUGCAUUAAAUACAAUCGCUCAUGUAAUUACUGUGCUUAAUCUACAGCAUACUUUAAUUAACACUGCACAGAAUUCUGAUUUAAUCAAUUAGAUUUGAUCUAGCGCAACUUAGCUGUAAAUACUUUUUAUGAUGCAGCAGCCCAAAAUAAUUAUUGAGACCUAGGGUAAUAUACAACUCUAAAACUAACACAUUUCCUAUGUUGAAAAGAGCACAUCAUAAUUUGAACUAUAAUUUUAUUAUUUACAAAAGUAAACUAUAAAGAGUAGAUCAUUCCGUUUCCACUAAUAGCCUAUUAAAAAAAAUCUCAUUGGGAGUGUUAGAACUUAAAAAAUUUGUUUUAUUUUUUAAAGAUUAAACUCAAGCAAAAGUCACUGCUUUCUGGCUGUGUAAAUAGUCUUAUUAACAUCAAUAUCUCAUGAUGUUUCUCAAUGUUGUAGGUUAAAUUUUAUCUCCCCCUUCCCCACAAAGAGAUACGUUGAAGUUUUAACUUCCACUACCUCUGAAUGUAGGGUCAUUGCAGAUGUAGUUAGGAAUGAGGUCAUACUGGAAUAAGGUGGGACCAUGAUCCCAUAAGGUGGGACAACAAUAUGACUGUUGUCUUUCUAAGAUGAAUGUUAAGGCAGAAACACACAAAGAGAAGGACAUGUAAGUCCAAGGCAGAGAUUAGUAUUUUGUAGCUGCAAGCCAAGGAACGCUAAGGACUUCUGGUAACCAACCAGAAGCUAGGAAGAGGCAAGGGAGGAGUUCUCCUACAGGUUUCACAGCAAACAUGGCCCCACUGACAUCUUGAUUUUGGACUUCCAGACUCCAGAACUGUGAGAGACAAAAUGUGUAUUUGUUUGGUUUGGUUUGGUUUUAGAGACAGGGUCUCACUCUGUCACCCAGGCUGGAGUAUAGUGUCAUAAUAAUAGCUCACUGCAGCCUCGAAUUCCUCGUGUCAAGCAAUCCUUCUGCUUCAGCCUCCUGAGUAGCUAGGACUACAGGUGUGAGCCACCACGCUUAGCCAAAUUUGUGUUGUUUUAAGCAAUCCAAUUUGUGGUCCUUGGUUACAGUGGCCCUAAGAAACUAAAAUACUUGCUAAAACUGAAGAAGUUGAGAAUUGAAACUCAAUGUAACCAGAAUUUAUGAAAUUACUUUUUUAUACUAGUGAGGAAAAAAGUAUCUUGCUGAACUAUUUUUAAAAGUGCAUGUGCUGUUUUUAGUUGAAGUAAACUUUUUUAUUCUUAAGUAUUGACAUAAAUAUAACACUUUUGUUCCUCAGACACAGCAGCUAGCAGAGUGCCUUAAACAUAAAUCAUUCCACAGUAUAUUUUGUGGCUUCAUUUAAAAAGAUUAAAAAUGAAAAUAGCCCAUAAAUAUUAAAAUACUCUUAUAGAAUAUAAGCCAUAAAAGAUAUACAGAACUACUGAAACACGAGAGUAAUCAUUGAAAAGAAUUUGCAUGAGGUUCAUCAAGGCAAAAUUUCAUCUUGAAUGUAUAUAUGAAUAAUAAAGAAACUAUAUACCCUGCAGUUUUUGGAUUAUUCAGAUUCUAUAUUUUCUGUUGCCUUAUUUUGGCUUUGAAAAAAAUACUCUUAGGACAAAUACUAUGUGAUGUGCAGGGCCAAAUAAAAGAAUAUACAUUUUAGUUCUUGGCAUUAACUUGCUAACAGACCUUACUACACAGAUUUGGUAAGGAUGAAAAUUAAAAAUAUAAUGAAAAAGAAAUUUGGGGCUGGGCCCAGUGGCUCAU
rnacentral:lncRNA from 10 species